rnacentral:rRNA from 1 species
UACGAAGGGGGCUAGCGUUGUUCGGAAUUACUGGGCGUAAAGCGCGUGUAGGCGGGUCUUUAAGUCAGGGGUGAAAUGCCAAGGCUCAACCUUGGAACUGCCUUUGAUACUGGGGACCUUGAGUCCGGGAGAGGUGAGUGGAAUUGCGAGUGUAGAGGUGAAAUUCGUAGAUAUUCGCAAGAACACCAGUGGCGAAGGCGGCUCACUGGCCCGGUACUGACGCUGAGGUGCGAAAGCGUGGGGAGCAAACAGG